UACGUAGGGGUCUAGCGUUGUCCGGAAUUAUUGGGCGUAAAGAGCUCGUAGGCGGUUCGGCAAGUCGGAUGUGAAAUCUCCACGCUUAACGUGGAGGGGACAUUCGAAACUGCCGUGACUCGAGUCCGGUAGGGGAGUGCGGAAUUCCCGGUGCAGCGGUGAAAUGCGCAGAUAUCGGGAGGAACACCAAUGGCGAAGGCAGCUCGCUGGGACGGUACUGACGCUGAGACGCGAAAGCGUGGGGAGCAAACAGG
rnacentral:rRNA from 1 species